AAGAUUGCAUCAGCGAGUGAAUUGCAGACUCGUGAAUUGGAAGUUUGCCCCUGAAGCUCGUCUUAUUUUUGUUGUACAAGUCAGUGCCUUCAUAAAUUUUGGGUUCUACUACUUGUACAACUAGCUCUUGUUAUUGAUCUGAUGGCUAUUUCUGUUUUUGUUCCCUUCUGAACGUUCCCUUACUAAUUAUGGAGUCUCACCGACGAUGACUGGAAAAUAGUUCUCUUGAUUUUUCCUAAAACCCAAAUCUGAGAAAAGGAACUGAAGCACAAACUGGAAGUUUCUUGUUCUUCUGAAACAAGAGAUGCUCUCUUUCCAAAGAAGUACACACAAGCUACAACGGUGGACGCGACCUCAGUGCCACAUGAUCUUUAAGGGGGAACUGCAACAGGUAGUUAGAUUUAUGCAAUUCCACAUUUCCAACUUAACUUCUGCCUUCUCUGUUUUUGUUCCAAUUUUAUCGAAAGUCUCCGAUGGACAGUUCUUCUGUUUCUUUGUCUCAUAGAGAAGAAAACCUAGUGUGUGUGUGUGUGUUUCAUAUUUGACAUGAUAAUACAUAGCAAUGUCUAAAGUCCCCAAAUCCACAGAAAUCCAUCUCUUACGCACUUCACAGAUCACAUCUUUUGUUCCUUUUCACUUCAGAAUUUUUCUGGCUUUUACCAAAAUUGAUAGUGUAACUAAGAAUGGAAACGUAAAAACGAAGGACCUAUAGUGUCAACUUUACUUCUUACCAUGAAUGAUCAAAUAAAGGAGGUCAAUCUAAAUUGCAAUUCGAAGUUAAUACAUGACAGAAAAUCACCUCAAAUAUAUCACAAGAUAGAGCAAAAAGAUUUGUACCAACAUUCAUCUAUGUUUGGAUCUCAUUUUCAUAAAAUCUGGUAAAUUCCGUUGAAACACAAAAAUCUCCUACUUCAUCCGCUGUAUACAAUCGCACUCUUUAUAGUAAUAGGAGGAAGAUUUGUGGGUGGAGGAACCUUCCUCUGUCUAUACAAGUUUUGAGUCUGCUACUUUUCCUGUUACCUACCUUCUCUGUUCUAUACAUGUAUCUAUUCAAAGAAUGCACAAACAAUUUAUAUGGCAGACAAGACAGUGCGCAACAUGCUUUGAUGUGGUAAAGGUAAUGUUGCAUAUAUGUUGGACGGGACAGAAGGCUGAUGUUCCCUUUGGAACUUCUUCAAUAGAUUGAUCAUUCGCCUGAUAGUUUCUUCAGUUGCUAAAUUGUUUCCUGCCUAUAAAACCUAAAGAAGAGAAAGAAUAAAGAUAAUAUAUGAAAUGGAGGAUACCUUAGUAGGUAUAUGGAACUGUACAUUGUUUGUGAUACGUUAACUGUAACCACCUUUCAUAAAGCCUAUGUUGACCAGGUAUAGUUGACCAAUAAUGUGGCAAAAUUUUAGGAUAAAGGGUACAGGAAAAGGAAAUACUACCUCAGCAAAAAUUGCUAUUAUUUUCGGUAUAUAAGAUCCUUGAGGGCCAAUAAUUUUCUUCUCCGACCUGAAAGAAAAAGGCACAAUGCCAACAAUGCAUAAGAAAUGUUGAAGGUUUAUAAUCAUGUAUUGAUUAUUGCUUGCUCAACUGAAAAAACUUACGUUUCCAUCAUCGAGCAAAGCAGUUCGUGAUUGAUUUUAGCCUCAUCCAGAUGACACCUUAUUGGUAAGUGGCUAAGCCAAAGCAAGAUAAACUGCCACGUAAAAAAGUUUUGUAAAUCAAGAAAGUCGAGAAGGUUUAUAAUAUGUCAGCCAAUAAACCAUAAAUUUAUCAAGAGAAGUUGUAAAUUUCUGUUGGGUGUUUGUGUUCUAGUGUUAUUUAUAAGAAUGAUAUAGGGAAGGAGUAGGAAGAGAGAAACCUUAUAGGUGUAAAUGCCUUCCCAGACAAACUGGCUUAACUUCCCACAGGUAGAAAUGGCAGCCUCGUAAGCCAUAAUGUUAUCCGGGCGUUUUGCAUCGGGAUGCUCCAUUACAGAUUUUAAAUGAUUGAAUAUUACUAAAACAACAUUAGAAAGCUAAGUCAGUACUGCUAGUGGAGAAAAUAAAUAUCUUAAGCAUGUUAUGAUGCACUAAUUACCUAUAGUAUGAGGCUUGAGGAUAUCGCCUCCGAAUUCAGCACAAAUACCAACUACAGUUGCUACUAACUGAAAAAUAUAGAAUGUCAGAUUUGAUAUGUAUAAGUCUGAUUUUCUAGGGAAACAACUGUAAAAGUAGGGGAAUGAAACCUGCUGAACAUCUGGAUUGUAAUGAUCGUAAACUCUAAGCAGGAGAGGUACCCAAUCCUCAUAGUACCUGCUUUUAAAUAAUCAAAAUUGAAGUUCAGCUAAAGCAAAUUGUGCUUCCUUGACUAACAAGAGACUGAAAGCACAAAAGACAAGACUUGCCUGAAUGCAUCUUCUCGGCACUGCUCAGUCACGGAAAAGGUGCACUACAGUUCUUCUUUCUUCUGCUGUUCUAUCAUUACUCUGUACAGAAGUAUGUAGAAAAGUAAAGGGAAACUCACAGAGGAGUAUAAA
rnacentral:lncRNA from 1 species